AAAAACAGAAAAUUUACUUAUAUUUACCAGACACUCUAUGGCUGUUCCGUAUGUUAAGCUAAGGAGAAUUAUUCAAAUUCCUCUUAAUGGUGAUAAGCAUAAUUACAUCAUCGACACAUGAAUGUAUGGAUGAAGCCUUUUACAAGGGAAAGCUGAGACUUAAGCGGUAAGAAGAGAAUAUAUGGGAAUUUCUGGCAGGGAGAGGAAAAAAGAGAAAGAUUGCAAGAGGUAGAGGGUGCAAGUUAAAAGGACAGAUCUUCAGAAUCAUACAAAGAAAGUAUGUAUUGCCAAAUAGCGGUAAGAGUCGAACUGGAUAACUCAAUUCCAAAUCUUAAAAGUCAAGAAAUAAGACAACGUCCCGAAAAAAAAAAAUGAGUCUCAAAAUCCGAAUAAUCUUCCGAAGCAUAACUUAUCCGAUACCAACUGUAACUUUAACUGUAAUAUCGAAAUCAGUGUAACAAGAUGAAGUAGUUUUCCCACACGUCGGGCAAAUUUGUAAAUAAUGAGAGAAAUUUGUUCGCGUCUCAUUAAGUUCGAGCCGAGGCUUCGAACGAAGUUUGGAGCGCAGUCCUUGGCGCGACGGCAUAAAAUCGCCUCUGUAUCCCUAUCAAGGUUGAAAUAUCGAUUUCCGUCUUCGCUCGCAAAAUGCGAAUCGCGCGCACAAAAUUUCACACGCACAUGGGAGAAGAAACGGAAGUUCGAGUCUCUCUUUCUCUCUCGCCCUUAUAACAACUACGAAUAAACCCGCCCGCGGAAUCUCCAACACGGGCCAUAAUCUCCGAGUAUUUACAUACUUAGCGCAUUUUUCCGAGCGCACGAUCUCGCGAAACGCGGCGUAUCGCCGACGAUAAGCCGCGCGGCGCAAAGUGCGGCGCCGACGAGAACGAGCGAGCAAGCGAGCGCACGCACGAGAUAAAUUCGCCGGAGUGUGUUGCGCGACAUGUACCUGCCGCCGCGAGAUGCACUUGAAAGGGAGAGGGGAGAGGGGUGUGAGAGUGAGUGAGUGAGUGAGUGAGAGAAAGAGAGAACAUAAAAAGCAUGAGAGCCGGACGGGCAAACUCGAAGACUCGCUGCUUCACGACCAGCGCAAAUUCGCCCGGCCGCCCGACAGACUAACAGAGAGAGAGAGAGAGAGAGAGACGAACAGGCGGCACGAGCGUAAAAGAUCGCUGCUCGGCUAACGUGCGUUGCGCGCGAUGUAACGCGUAAAUAGAUAAGACCGCGGGAGGGAAGGAGAGCCGAGGGGAUGGGAGGAAGGCGGAAUCCGCUCCUCACCUGCUGUUGCUGAUGUCGGCCCGCUGCUGUUACCGCUGCUGUUGUCUGCUGUCGCCGCACGGCACCGAUCGAGGCGGCCUACGUCCGCGAGAUGUACGACGCAACACGGCGACACGAUCACCGUCGCCGCUCCUCCACCCCUUCUCCGAUCCGAUGACGCUUCCUUGCGCCUCUUCUCACCGUCACCGUCGUCGUCGGUACCAACAACGGCCUUCGUGGGGAUCGCUGACGCGCGCUCUCCUCGCCGCCGACUAAACAUGCAGUAAUCGCACCAGCGCUCCUCGCAUCAAUAAUAUCGGCCCUGUGUCUCUCUCUCUCACGGCUGGCUGGCUGGUCCGCCUCUCUCGUCCUCCCCCAAUCCGCUUUCUCGCCCGCUACUGAGCCGACGGACGGACGACGAGUAGCCCGGGCGACGACGUAGUGACGCGGCGCGGGCGAGGAAUUCCGGGAAUUUGAUACCGUAAAUGGCGCGCGUGGGGGGGGGCCGACCGGAUGAUGGUGGACAAUCACGUGAGCGUGGCGCGCAUGCGCAGUGCGCCGCGUGGGAUCGCGCCCGCUGUGAUUUAUCGAUAAACCGCGCACCACCGGCGCUCCACUCGCCGCCGCCAUCUUCCGCGCCUUUCGCGCGAAAAUUGAAAACGCUCGUGCGCGCGCGCACUGAGUCGCGUCCGCGCACUCUGAUCGUCGCCGUCUCAAAACGCACGGAAAACAAAUCCAGCCGGUUAUCGAAAAUGAACACAACGCUUUCCCCUUUCGGUGAGU